UACGUAGGGUGCGAGCGUUGUCCGGAAUUAUUGGGCGUAAAGGGCUCGUAGGCGGUCUGUUGCGUCGGGAGUGAAAACUCAGGGCUUAACCCAGAGCCUGCUUCCGAUACGGGCAGACUAGAGGUAUGCAGGGGAGAACGGAAUUCCUGGUGUAGCGGUGAAAUGCGCAGAUAUCAGGAGGAACACCGGUGGCGAAGGCGACAUCCUGGACCGGUAUUGACGCUGAGGCGCGAAAGCCAGGGGAGCAAACGGG
rnacentral:rRNA from 1 species